rnacentral:lncRNA from 1 species
UUACAUCAAACAGCCGUCAGCCAGCCAUGCUCUAUCAGUUUUUUUUUUCCUCUAUUGCUAGACAAGCUUACGAACAUUAAACCGACUAAACAAGGCAUAAAAAUCACUUGAUUCUCUUCCUCUUCUUCUUUCAUCAUCUUCAUCUUCUUUUUUGUUUUCUUCAAAAAUCCAAGUUAUGGACUUGUUUCUUCAGCUUUUUCUUAUCUAAACUUAUGUCUCACUCAGAUAUAUUGGUUUGAAUUUUCUUUUGCAGAUCUAAAUAUAUUAGAUCUGGAUCUUUUAUGCUUGGAUUUGUCAUUUUUGUUGUUGAAAGACUUGUUCAAUUUUUUAUUUUCUGUUUCUGCUAUUUUCUG